rnacentral:tRNA from 1 species
UAAAUAUCAAAAGCUAUGUUGCAAACUUAGUAUUAGGCUCUGUUCCUUAUUUA